ensembl:lncRNA
CUGAGUGUCUGAAGUCUUUCGUAGGUUCAUGAUGUAGAGACUUCGUCCAAUGCUUUGCCUGAACAAUGCUCUCCUUCAUCAAAAUGGCAGCAGGCUCCUGCAUUUCCCACUUCCUUUUGAAGCGCUUUUCACAUAAACCGCUUGGUCCAGGCUUCAGCUCCCCUACAUCUUGCUGCUUCGCUUCCAUAAUGGGGGGCUGUUUCUUCUUGUUCUGGCAGUUCACAGAAGCAUCUUCCUCUUCAUCAUCAGAGUGCUGUGCAUCUUCCGGAUCUGUGUAAGACCUGUUGAACAUGGCGUAAUUUUCAUAUUCACAGGGCUUGAAGUAGUGCACUUUCCUUGGAUUCAAAGGAAAGCUGAUGUUCCGCUUGGGUUUUGGUGGAGCAUCGACACGUUUUAGAAUGGGUCGGAUGAUCCUGGUCUCCGAGCUGGACCUGGGACUGGCCUGUGAACCUUCCACUUCCUCUGGAGGACACCCUGAUCGCCUGCGAGUCCGGGGGAUUGGUGUCGGGACAAAGCUGCUGUCCCAAUCUGAGAACACCUGCUGCCUCGCAGAGACUUUUGCCCCAAAAUGGCGGUUGUCAUGUUCCGGUGAUAACCUGGCCGGAUUAGGGCAAGCAUGACUACCUGGGCUAUAACCAUUGGGCCUGGCAGGCUUGAUAAAAGGUUUGGGCUUGUGUGUCACUCUUGCAGAUUUGUUCAGCGUUUGUGAUUCAGGUGAAGCACUGGGAGAUGUCUCUCCUCUGUUCUCUCUCUCACACCAAUCCUUUGAAACCUCUGGAGUCCUCGGAAGCUUCGGAAUCCUUGGCAGCUUUGGCUUGGGGGGCAGCAAGUCGUACUCAAACUCACUUUUUGACAACCUUUCUUUCUCAUUCUUUUUCAACACCUUCGGAAUCUGUGUCAAUUUCUGUUGGGAUGUCAAGUCACUCUCUGCCGUAGGUUUUAGUUUCUUGGACGAGUCAGGAAUCUUAGAGACCAUUAUCCCUAAACCCCCAGACUCUCCUCUAUCCGCCACCAUCUUCUGCCUUGGUGGGGAACCUUUCUCUCUCUUCCGGCUUGGUGGAGAAUCUUCCUCACUCUUCCGGCUUGGGGGAGAACCUUUCCUGACAAGAUGUUUGGGUAAGGACAGCUUUUUCAAUCUGACUUUUUGGCAUUGAAUGUUUUGCUUGUGUUUGAUGUCGUUCCUCUGCCGCUCUUUGACAACAGGAGACAUUGACUUUGCAGGGGAGCAGUGUCUGUUAGUUUUGUUCUGGGCUUUUGUCUUUGGCAUUCUGGGGACUUCAAUAUGUUUUGAGGGUGAGGCGUUUAUGGAAGGCUUUUUGGGGAUGUUUAUGGAGAUUUUGAGAGGAAUGGUGGUGGUUGAGGAUCCCUGCACAUGGAGGGUUUUCGCCCCAGGGCACGGGAGUGAGUUUCCACUGGCCCUCUCUAUGUCCACCAACUGGCACUGUAACUCUUUGGAGUCUGAGUUCCUGCCGUCAGUUUCAGUUGAAUUUCUCCUCUUCUGUGACAUCUUGUCCCUACUUUGAUUGUCCUCUCUCUCUUUCUCAGUUGAAUGUCUCCUCUUCGGUGGCUUCUUGUCCCUGGAUUGACAGCCCUCACACUCUUUCACAGUUGAUGAUCCCUUCUUCUUGUCUUUACAUCGAUUUUCAUCACUCUCAGUUGAAUGUAUCUUCUUGUGUGAUGCAUGUGGCUUCAUGUCCCUGCAUUGAUUAUCCACAGUUGCCUUCAACCCAGAGCUCUUAGCGGUUUGGGAUGGUGUCCUUCCCCUCUCUGCUCUCCCAUAGCUUUUCUUGUGCUUUUGCCUGUCAGAUGACAUUGGAUGGAGGGUCUUCUCCUUUUGCAUUUUUUUAUGUACUUUUUUCUUUGACUUGCAGGUUUUGUAUUGAGUGACAAAGUCAGCAACUUUGUCACACUUUUCUACAGGCGAACCACAGACCUCUAUAGGUGAAAACCAGUUGUCUGCUAUGAUGUUAGCUCUUAACUUAGAGGGGUUUUCAACCUUGGGAAGUGGUAAUGUACUCGUCCUGCAGUCUUGGUCCUUCUCUUGCCAUAUUUCCCUAUCCUCAGAACCAGGACUGACUUUGCUUUGGGUCGUACGUUCUUGGGCUGACGCACAUGGUGCUUUGGCAUCAGUUUCAGGUUCUGUCCUUUUAACAUUAGAAGCAUGAGCUUCAAUCUGAGCAUGUUGUUCAUUAUAGCUCUCCUCUGUCUCCUGAUCGGUAUCUGACCAGAAAAAAAAGUCAAUGAUCGGUAUGACGCCUGUCCAUUGCUGCAUUUCACCCUGUGUCUUAUUGUCAUCACCCUCUUCUUCAGUUGAAUGUAUCUGCUUCUUGUCCCUGCAUUGACUGUCAACAGUCACCUUCCCCCCAGAGUCCUUAGGGACCUCUGUCUCCUGAUCAUUUGUACGUGACAUGGUAAAGCAGUGAGCGAUUGUUAUGCAUCUUGUACCUUGCUGCAAUCCUUUCUCUCUCUGACAACUGGAGCAUAGGCCCAUUUCAAACCCAUUGUCAGUUUCAAUACCACAAGGACAGUAGCAGGACUUAUCUAAGCUGCCACUUUCUAUAUUCUCUAGUUGCUUUGUCUGUGUUUUAUCUUUGUUUUUAGAGCAGGAUUUAGGGGACGCGAAUUGGAGGUCAGAGCCAUUCUCGAUCUGGCAAAACAGUCUCAUGGCAUCCUCAGAUGUCAGGAUGGUCAAAUUCAUUGGGGAAAGGGGUUCUGUGUCCGAGUCUGUUGUGAGGUCUACGACCGUUUUGAGGUCUGUGUCUGGUGCCUCUGUUUCAGCAAGCAGUUUCACAGCGUCCUCUGGUGUGAGGACGGUCAAAAUCAUUGGGGAAAGGGGUUCUGUCUCCAAGUCUGCGUUUGUUGGGAGGUCUGUGUUUGUUGGGGGGUCUACAUCCAUCGUGAGGUCUGUGUUUGUUGUGGGGUCUGCGUCCAUCGUGAGGUCUGUGUUUGUUGUGAGGUCUGAGUCUGUUGUUUCUGCAGGAAAUUCCACAGUCUCCAUCUUGCUGUGGAAGGUCUCAUCCAUCUGGACACCCCCAACCACUUUGGAACUGUCCUCUGCUUUAUCUGGUAUGAACCACAGAGACCAAGCUCUUCCAGAAUCUUUGUCAAUGUCAUUCAGCUUCUCGUUGACAUUUAACCAUGACGACCUGUAACCCACUUGGGAAGAGGUGUCAACAUGUACUGGAAUGGGAAACUUCUCGAGCACUUCCCCUAGUGAUAUACCACUGACUGCAAAGAGAACCACUGCCUUCUCAUCCUCUGUGGCCCAGGCAGACACAUCCUGCAUGAUUUUCUCAUCCAUUUGAUCUUUUAAAGCCUCUACCAGGUCAGAAGUAUCCCCUCCCCGAUACAACUCCAAUAUGGCCUCGAGACAACCAUCCUCUGCCUCUGUGAGUGUUGUCGCACUCUCCAGAUAAGUAACCAGUCUCUGCAGCGCACAUAACUUGAACUGAACUUCAGAAAUUGUGGACAAAUCAAGAGUGCUCUCAUCUGCAACAUUAGAGCUACCUUCCACGAUUAUCUGGGCACCACCGAUGCAUACAAUAUCAGUUGCCUGAGGGUUGGUGUGGACAAAUGGUGAAGGUGAUCUCUUGUCCAUUUGUGUGAUGACCUGAAGGACCUCAUCAUUGUCCUCUCCUGUAGAUGCCAUUGAACUUGUGGCAGAUGCAUCUACAGGUUUAUCACACUCCAGAAGACACUCAACUUGAACCAUCUCAUUUAGGACAGAGAGAGAACUUGCAUCAUCUUUAGCUCUUUCCCACAGGUUUUCUGCCUGUUUUUCGUUGAUGGACCAGGUCUGUAAAAUCUUAAAUGGCAGCUCAUUGCCUGCAUUCUCUGUCUCCAUGGGCUCUGGGGACUGCUGUGGACCCAUUGGCGGGACGAUAGCCACGGGGGGCGGCGGAGCGGUGGCGACUGCCGUCAGGGUCAUGUACCUGGGGGUGGACUUAAUCUCCAGCCGUAUAGUGGAGUCCUCAUCACUAAACCUCUCAGGGGGCCUCGCCUGGUAGUCUUUGGUGUUUAGAUGUAGUUGUGUUUUGUCUACUUGUAAAACAUCCAUCUUCUCUGUGCUAGAUUGUUGGGACUGAGAGGGGUCUUGUGUUGAGUUAUUCCCAUUUACAGGUCCAUUUUUAGAUCUUAAAACACUCUGGGGCCAGUGCUGUAUUUCCUUGAGUGAGAUCUUAUGUUUAUGAGGUUUUUCCCGAUGGGUGUCAGUGAGAGAAGGAGAGGAAGCAGGUUGCUGUUCAGGGGUGGUAGAGGUCUGUGUGUGAGAAACCAGAGCAGCAUUGCCAGGAAGAUGAUCUGUAUGUUGUGUUAUGGCUUGGAAAGGAACACUAGGUCCUAGUAUACCAUGGGUGUCUGCAUUUGUUACCUGGGCUGCUUUUAGGUCAACAACACCAGAUUCUGUACCUCCCGUGGAAGGGAAAUCCGUAAAAACACACUGCUGUGCAGUCGUAGUAAAGGUCUGCACAAGUGAUGUAGAAUAUCUCGCAGGACCUGUUGUAUAACCUGAUGUUGUUUCACUGUGUUUGUUGUUGACCAUAGGAACAGUUGGAGUGAUGUUGGCGUUCUGAAUGUCUGUAGAACUGUUGGUCAUAGUUUGACAUGCUUAGCCUGGAAGUCCAGCCUGGGAGACCUGCUGGAAUGGACGCUAGAACGUCCACUAGAGCCACCCCUAGAACGUCCACUAGAGCCACCCCUAGAACGUCCACUAGGGCCACCCCUAGAACGUCCACUAGAGCCACCCCUAGAACGUCCACUAGAGCCACCCCUAGAACGUCCACUAGAGCCACCCCUAGAACGUCCACUAGAGCCACCCCUAGAACGUCCACUAGAGCCACCCCUAGAACGUCCACUAGAGCCACCCCUAGAACAUGCACUAGAGCCACCCCUAGAACGUGCACUAGACCCACUCCUAGAACGUCCACUAGACCCACCCCUAGAACUUCCCUUUGAGCAUUCAGUAUAAUGAACCCUGGAAUAGGAAUUAGAAUGUCCCCUUGAAUGUUCAUUAAAAUGUCCUCUAGCAUGUCCAUUGGAAUGGGUGGGAUCUAACAUCUGCCAUUUGCUUUCCAAGUAAUGGAGAUUGUUAUAAUUCACUAUUCGACCAACCAUAUAAUCCCGGUCAGCUUUAUGGUGAUGGGUUAUAUCCUCAUGCCCUCUUUCGACAAUGAGUGGGGGCAAAAACUCAUAGCUGGGGAAGUGGGGUUCAUGCUUAGCCCAUGUUUCUGUUAUCUCUCCACUGCGGUGUAAGGUUACAUUAGGGGAUGCCUGGCCUCUCAGGGGUCCAUAGAGAUUUGGCCAAUCCUUUAUGUUCUGACUCGGAGCCAUUCUGUGAUGGUCCUGAUGAUACAGAUGCGGCGGCUGGGUCUCUUGUGCCCCAUGUCCACGGAAGUCCAUUGGAGAGUUUUGUCUAAGGGAGUUGUAGUGGGCCCGUAUGGCAGCUUCUUUCUCAUGGUUCAGCCACUGGCGUUCCCUUUCCUGUUGGAUGAGGUACUGUCUUUCACCAGCAGGGGGAGGACUUUCCCACUGAGCCAUAUUAUGGCAGCUGUAUCCAUCACCAUUAUUCCAUUCUCUUGCUCUGGCAUUUUCACAGGCGUUAUCCAUGUUGUGUCAGUUCUAUCCGUCCCAGCACAUUGAACUGGGUAGGAUUUCAAGUAUAAAAAAUAGAAACUAUUGUGAAAACUAAGCAAUGGUUAUCCAUCAACCAAGUUAUUGAUUUUUCUAACAAACUGCAACAUGUUUUUGAUAUGUGACUGCCAGUUGACAUUAUGGGCUGAAAGUUAGUUAGAGUGCAGAUCACAAUCAAGUAACACAAUCAAUAUAGUACACGCUCAUAUAGGAGGAGCCUGUGCCCCACAAAUAGCAGUCUGGGCAGGAGUAGAGUUCCACCUCAGGUCAGGUUGACCCCCCAGAGGAAUCAGAGAGGGUGUUGAUCCAUCCACAUCUGUUUGGUAUAUAAUAUCGGCAUUGUUGAUAUCCAAGGCCAUUUCCCGGGAUUAAACUAAGGUAAUUUGUCUCACGCUAAUCAGUAUUAUAACGAUUAACCACACAACGGUCUCCAGCCUUGAAGUGAUGCAGAGAUGCAACCUUGAAGUGAAUGAAUCACACUGGUUAAACGGUUAACAUAACAAUGGAGCCUAUUCAUUCUAUCUAAACAACUUCCCUAGAGCAGCGUAUCUUAAAGUAUGGGUCGGGUCGCGAUGUGUCAGAGGAAAUGUAUAAUUAUUUUAUCAAUUACUGGAAUUGAUUUGGCCAAGUGCAUCUGCGCUCUCGGGUUCAGUGCGCUCUCUGCUUAGCAGCGGUGCCUCUGCUGUCUGACAGCUUUGCGAGUGGGAGGGAGAUGUCUGUGCGCUUCGUGGUUUAACGGAUCUUUUUUCAGCAGCUUUAUUUUAGAUCACUCCCCGCUCAUGCAGCGUCUGGGCGGCAGGUGAUAAACUAUCAGACCCUGACUUGUCAGUCCCACUCCUCAGCAACUCACCGCCGUUAUCGAAUGGACUCGAGCUACCCACAGGUGCUGACUGAGCUCAAUCGUCACGAAACGCAAAUAGCGAUGACUUUCUCUCUUGUUUUCCAUACAAACUUUGAGAAAUAACGAAGUGCGCCCAUAAUGUGUUUUGUGGGGUGAAGAGCUUAGUAAGGAUUGCGCUAAAAAUGUGUUACAAAGUGACGAACAAACAUAUUGAAACGGUCAUCCAUGCAUUUGCUUGGAUAUCUCUUGGGGAAUGAAUACCCAUACGUAAAUCUGCUGCUUUUUUUGCAUAAAUAUAACACUGUUCAACAUAGAUAGCAUUGCUGUUCAUGUCAACCAUUGGAUGUUCCUAGUAUACUUACAGAAAGUGUGCCCCGCUCCUCUCUCUUUCACAUACGGCAGAUCAGCUGAACACAUGGAUAUCCCCAACCGAUAUCUAUCAAUCAACAACUCGCACUCUUCUUCUUCUGGGAUGGGGUUUAUCAGCAUCCAACGUUAUAGUGCAUUAUUGGCAAAAACACUCCAGUCUUCUGUUAGAACUUCUUCAAAUGUAUAUGUGGGAGCGCCCGUGGCUGGUACCAGUAGAUUCAAGUUCCACGCCCCCAGAGUUUUCUUCGCUCCUUC